UUCUGUCAGAGCAAUCAGCUGCUCCCCUAAACUGGGUCGAUUAUGCUCGAUCUCAUUCACUUAUUGAAAAAUAAUAGUUAUAAGUUAAAUUGUCUUUAGUAAAACUGGCAAAUAAAAUGAUAACUUAUCAUCUCAAAAUAUGCCACACAUUCAGAGCGAGGCGUCUGUUUUAUUCGUUGCGAUACGUAUCAAAAUCUGCAUCUGCCGAUGGCGCCUCUCAAAAUUAUUGCAUGAAUCUUGUCAAGCGAUAUGAUAAGGAAAAUUUCUUAUGCACAUUACUGUUAAAGAAUCCCGAGCGUAGGUUUGCGCUGGCCAUCAGGGCACUGAACGUCGAAAUCGCGCGCAUUUCUGAUACCGUAUCCGAUGACAAAAUUGGCCAAAUGCGUUUGAAGUUCUGGGAAGAUACAUUGGACAAGCUGUAUAAAAACGAUUCUCAGGCCAUACCUGAGCAACCUGUUGUCCAAGAGGUUAAGCAGGUGAUCGAUAGUCAAAAGCUAAGCAAACGGUACUUCCAGCGAUUGAUUUCUUCCCGACGAAACGCAAACCUCCGGUUUGUGACCACCAAAGAAUUAGAAGAGUACGCUGAGAAUACCGUCUCGAGUGUGAUGUAUUUGUUACUGGAAGCUCAUGGCGUCAAGAAUGUACACGCCGAUCACGCAGCGUCGCAUCUUGGCAAAGCGCAAGGAAUAGUGAAUCUGCUCCGAUCGAUUCCUCGACAGGAGCGAAGAAGUGCGGUACCCGUACCGCAAGAAGUUCUGAUGCAGCACGGUGUCAGCCAGGAGCAUGUGCUGCGAAACCGUAAAGAUGACAAAGGAGUAGAGGAAGUUAUCUUUCAGCUGGCCGGUCUCGCCAAUCAGCACCUUGAAAAAGCGCGCAAUCUGUGGGGUUCGGUACCGAAGCGAGCGAAGCCUGUCUUUCUGCCGGGCGUUGCAACCGGGCGCUUCUUGGAACGGCUCCGUAGGGUAAAUUUUCACCUGACGGAUCCUAACUUGUUACGAACCGACGCAAUGCUUCCGUUAGCGAUUUACUGGAGCUAUUUCCGGAGAAAUUUUUAAGCAGGAAGGAAAGAACUUUCAACGGGCUAAUAAAUGUUCAUCCGUUUUUGAUGCUAUUAUAGAUAUACACUGAUGUAGGUGCGAUAUACGGUGGUAACAAUUGCAUCAACACGUUUUCAUUCUCUUUGUUCGCCGAUCUGCAAAACCAUUGCAAAAUACUCUGGAAAAUUUGUCCACCUCCAUUUAUUCCGCAGAAUGACCACACACCAUAAACUGACGGGUUCGAAUUGUGCUUCGGUUGCCGAGUAUUAUCCGACUUGCACUGUGGAUAUGCGUAUUCUCGAGCUUCCCACUCAGAAUACAUUCAAGAAGUGAUAUGUGACACUACUAGCUUAGAUUAUACUCGGUAUGACUUUUGGUCCUUUUUUAAAUCUCUUCACUUUGUAGAAUUUAUAUAUGACGGAUUUCAUGCCAACUAGUUUUAGGAGUUCGCAGCACCAUCUCAGAUAGUAGUGAAACGUUGUGGGUGUAAA